UUUUUUGCAUUAUAAAAGGGGACUACCCUUCUGCUCUUAAGGACACCAUCCUCACACUACUCUUUCUGCACACUUUUGCUAUAACAACCUUUACACACAGACACCUCUAUCUUAAAAAAUAUACUACUUUCUCUACUACUACUUUCUCCAUUACUGCUUUCUCUACUACUGCUUUCUCUGCUACUGCUUUCUCUACUGAGCACACAGCUCCUCU
rnacentral:lncRNA from 1 species